rnacentral:miRNA from 1 species
AUUGUCCAAACGCAAUUCUUGUG